CACAAUCUUGGUCUUUCAUGCACCCUACAGCUUUAGCCCUCCAUGAUAUUGAUGCAUCUAUAUCAAAUAAUUAAAAACAAUAGUAACAUUUACAAGAUGUUGAAUUGCAACACUUCAUUAGUCAAGAUUGAAUUUUGCAGAUAGGUAAAAUUGAACGAACCAGAGAGUUGAAGCAACAGGAAGAAGGCAAGCAAGACAAUGCAAGAUUUCUUCAUUUUUAAUUGUUGUUAAUUUUCUUGUGUGUCAUCCGCUGCUUUAUAUAAUAGCAUAACUGCUUUGAUUUUAUGCCCCAAAUUUUUUGGUAAGUCCAUGAUAUGGUAUCACAAAAAAUACCUCCUCAUAUGGGUAUUAUGUUAAUACUUUAUAUGUAGAGAAAAAUUGGUGUACACUUUAUUUGCAUUUAAGUCUUCUCUUGGAUGGGACGAUUUAUUUUUUCUUUCUUUCUUUUUUCUUCUUUUAUUUUUUUGUUAGAUAUUUCGAAAAGAUUUUUGUCAAUUUCUAUUCCAACUAGUAGAUGAGAGUCGGAGCAUUAAUGGCAACGGAAAGAGAUUUUGAUUAUGGAAUGUUGGAAACAUUUUCCUGCUUACUUCUGACUCUUGAGUGCCUUCAAAUAUGCAUAUUUUGCAUGUGAUUUUGAUAGAAUGAUUUAUUUAGAUUUGUAAUCCAUAUGACAUAUAACCAUGAUUUGGUGUUUUGCUAGAUGUGGAGCAAAAUAUUUAUACUAAUGACAGACCCUUUAUUUUUUUUAUUUCCCAAUUUAGUGUUUCAACUUUUAAUUUGAUGUCCCACUUUGUCUCUCACAUUCAUUUUUUUCUUUUUUCAAUUUCAAUUUUUUAUGUUUUUGUUUAAUUUUAUAAUUAUUAAUUAGGGUUUAUUCCAUCCAAUUAGGAUAUCUAAUUUUUUUAUCAUUCCCAAAAAUCAAAGCAGUAAUGUCAGCAAAAGAUGUAUUUUAGAUAAUAAUUAUAAAAGUAUACUGAUAGUAACAUCACUGCUCCAUUGCAAUGAAAUUAUUAAAGUAUAGCUAAAAAUAAAAGGGUUAAUGGCCUGUAAAACCAUGAACUUUGAGCGAAUUCUGGAUUUAACCUCUAACAAAAGAUUCUGUUUGUAAAACCACGAACUUUGAAAAUUUUCUGAUUUUGACUAUGGGAUCUAUUUUCUGCGCUUAUGUGGCAUGACACACUUCUUUUCGGCACUGGAAUUAAGAAAUUGAUAUUUUGUGUGUUGAUGUGGUAGGUUCUAUUGUGAAAAUGUUAAUAAAGUGUAUUUUUUUUAGCAUUUUUCGAAACUUGUCCUGCUUCGUGGGAAGCAUCAAGUAGGAAAUGUUCAUGUUUGGUGGGACGGAGGACAAUUGCUUAAAUUAUUAGUAAGAAUCAUUUCGGCCAUUUCCUCUAAUUUUUUUCUUAUCUUUCAUCUUAUUAUUAUAAUUAUAAUAGCUCUAUUUAUUUCUAAAUUAUUUUGGCAUUCGGGUUUCAAGGUUUUGUGUCUAGUCUCUGUGCUUGUAUGUAUUUUUUAGUGGAUUUAAGUCAAAUUUAGAUUUGUUUCUCUGUCAUUUUUAUGUAAAAUUCUUUUAAUAUGAUGCUUAUUAAUUGGUGUAUUUUGGCUAAAAAUUUAUUUGUAUUGAAGCUGUGAUGGAUUCAAUGUUGUGUGUUUUGCAGUUUGAAUCUUUUUUUAGAGGUUAAAACCAGAAUUCGCUUAAAGUUCUGCUUUUGAUGCUUUUAGCUGAAAUUAAUUAAUGCGACUUGCUUUUUUUUUUAUGAAAGCUAAUUUCAAAGUCAAGCCUUACAUGUUUAUAAAGUUUUAAUUGCUCGAUAAUUCGUAUUUGUAGUUUUAUUUUUUUUUAAUCAUUUAUUAGCAUAGAUGUUCUCGUUUUAUGCUUAUUUAAAUUAAUUUGUAAAUUGUGUUUUUAUUACAACUUUUUCUAAUGUCUUGACCCAAAAAAGAACGAGCAAAAAUACAGAUGUGACAUCAUAAAAAAAGGUUGCUUNUGUGUUGACUGAAUUAAUAUUUCCACAUAGGUUCUCUCCCUCUCUCUUUCUCUCUUCGGUUCUUGUAAGUCAUAUCGUUCACAUCGAAACACUGCUCCACAUUGAACUUUCUGGCAACUAUUGUUAGGGUUGGCUUAAAUUGUGCUUUAAAUAUCUGUCAUUCACGUGCAGUGUGUACAAUGUUUAUAAGAUUGUUCGGGCAGAAAAGGAAGUAUGCUGCUAGCUUUGGCAAUGGUAUGCACAUUUGACAAACCAACAAUAGCUCAGAUUACAUUUUUUAUCAAAAAAAUCUCUCUUUAGAAUUUGAAUUAAUAUCUUGAUCUUAUUUGUUGACAGCUUUACCCAUUUGCUAUUCUACUGGGUGGAGUUCUUUUCUGGUAUUGCUUGAUUUCCCACUAUCUUCUUCACUUCUCAUUUUGUUUAUAAUUUAAUAUUGGGUAUAAUUGUGCAGGACUAUCUGUCUCCUCUUGAUUACUGGUAACUACCACACCUCGUCAUAUUGGGUAUUGGUUUGUCAUUCGGAUUCCUCGUGGUAAUAUUUCCUUCUAGUUAUGAAGCUUUGCUGCAUAACACUACAGGCUCGAUUUUGUUUGUAGACCUCUGAAUUGUAGUUAUGUACGUUAUUCCACUCAUGUAUGUAUUUUAGUGCCUAAAAGGUGUUAUUUUUCUUUUCACUCAUAACGCAUUUGCUGAUGAUGCUACUAGUUGAGGCAACCUUCAUUUUCUACUACAUAAUAUUGAGGCAUUAUGUUCGUCUUCUUAUCCCAGAGUGUCUAAACAAUUUCUUACUAAAAUGAUUGUGUUGCAGGGAAGGAUGAUUCUCGCUCAUAUAUGUGAUGAACCCAAGGGCUUGAAGACAAGCAUGUGCAUGGUACGAGCAAUGUUUAAUUCUUCUAUAGAGUUUCUUCAUGACAUUUGAUAAGGAUGAUCAGGUUCAUCAAUUACUUUAAAAGGAAAGCCUUAGCCCAUCUUUAUUUUGAGAGAUUGAUGGGAGUAUAAUAACAGAUUUAUUUUUGACUGAGCCACAUUUCUGCAGAAGCCUUUUAACUCGUGUUUUUCUCUUCGCAGUCGCUAUUAUAUCUUCCUUUUGCCAUUGCAAAUGCACUCACUGCCAGGCUAAACGACGGGUACGUGCUGAAAGAACUAUUUUACUCUUAUCUUCUCAUGCUGGAGUCGAGAGAUGCAACAAUAUAUCUGAUUUGAUUAUUUAACACUUUCUUCAUCUUCAUAUUUAUUGCAGGGUUCCUCUUGUUGACGAGUUCUGGGUUCUUCUUGGUUUCUUUGGGUACUCAGGUACGAGCUUUGCAUAUACAAGCUUCCUGCAAUAUGUACAAUACCACUUGACUCAGCCUCUUGUAGGAAUUCAGUUAUUUUCUCUCUUUAAGUAGUAAAAACGAGAACUCUAAAUAUAUUUUAUAUCGAGUUUCCUGUUCUUGUCAAUUUCCUCUUGAUCUUAAUCAUAGUUUCAUUUUGCUGUGUGCAGCGGUGCUAUAUAUGCAUUUUGUAACAUCCAUCAUUCAAGAAAUAACAACAGCUCUGGGAAUUUACUGCUUCAGGUAACGAAUACUGUGGAAGGACUAAUAACUUUCUUCAUCAUUCGAAUCUGCCUAGUUACACCGCUUCCAUUCUGCUAUGGAAAUUCGCUGCAUAUUUCAGCCUCUCAAAUCUAUCUUAUAUAAUCUGGAUUCUGAAUGUUAUGUUUCUUUAACAUAAUCAAUGCUCUGUUUCAUCCAAAUGCAGGAUAACUAGAAAAGAAGCUUAAGCUGUGACUACUGCAUGUAUCUUGAGGUAUCAACAAUUGAAGACUUGUUUGCUUAUUGUUGCAGUCCUUUGUGUUACUCCGUUGUUAUAAUAUCGUGCCUCGUUUUUGGUGCAUCAGUCUCUCUAGACGGCGACUCAACUCCACAAAUAUGGCAGUGAUGGAGCUGCGCAAAGAACAUUCUUUGGUUUGUGACUAGGUUUUACAUGUUGGCUUGUCCAAAUUAAGUAACUCUUCACACGCCAUUUUAAGUACGCUUUCCUUUUGCUAUUGUAAGUUUUGGCUGUUUUCAUUUGUAGAACGUUGUGAUGUGAUACAUGAAUUUGAAUUUAGUUUUGUUACUUACUCCCUCCGUCCACGAAAUGAGUACCCAUUUGUGGACGGCACGGGUUUUAAGAAAUGUAUGGAGUGUAGUGUGAAUAGUUUAAGGGUCUCAUUUUUUGAGUGUAUUAAUUAAGAGAUGUGUGGAGUACACUUGCCAAAAAGGGAAAUAGUGUACUCAUUUCGUGGACGGAUGAAAAGGAAAUAUGAGUACUCAUUUGUGGACGGAUGGAGUAUAUCACAAACUAAAUUCAUUUCGUAGUUAUAAGGUCUUACAUAGGGUGAAAAUCUCGUAAAAGUGAAGCUGAAAAAGCUCGAGAGUUGAGUUCAUCGAUGAGCCGUAGCCUCUAUGGGGCAUAAACAGCCGCAAGACGUGUCGGUGCAGGCAGGAGUGGUGGCUCCGACGACAUGGUUGCAGUGACAUAUGCAUCUCGGAUUUCUGCAGAGAAUAUCUUGACUCACACAAUCUUGGUCUUUCAUGCACCCUACAGCUUUAGCCCUCCAUGAUAUUGAUGCAUCUAUAUCAAAUAAUUAAAAACAAUAGUAACAUUUACAAGAUGUUGAAUUGCAACACUUCAUUAGUCAAGAUUGAAUUUUGCAGAUAGGUAAAAUUGAACGAACCAGAGAGUUGAAGCAACAGGAAGAAGGCAAGCAAGACAAUGCAAGAUUUCUUCAUUUUUAAUUGUUGUUAAUUUUCUUGUGUGUCAUCCGCUGCUUUAUAUAAUAGCAUAACUGCUUUGAUUUUAUGCCCC
rnacentral:lncRNA from 1 species